UGGGGAAUAUUGGACAAUGGGCGCAAGCCUGAUCCAGCCAUGCCGCGUGAGUGAUGAAGGCCCUAGGGUUGUAAAGCUCUUUCACCGGUGAAGAUAAUGACGGUAACCGGAGAAGAAGCUCCGGCUAACUUCGUGCCAGCAGCCGCGGUAAUACGAAGGGGGCUAGCGUUGUUCGAAUUUACUGGGCGUAAAGCGCACGUAGGCGGCCUUUUAAGUCAGGGGUGAAAUCCCGGGGCUCAACCCCGGAACUGCCGUUGAUACUGGAAGUCUUGAGUAUGGUAGAGGUGAGUGGAAUUCCGAGUGUAGAGGUGAAAUUCGUAGAUAUUCGGAGGAACCCCAGUGGCGAAAGCGGCUCACUGGACCAAUACUGACGCUGAGGUGCGAAAGCGUGGGGAGCAAACAGG
rnacentral:rRNA from 1 species